UGCGGCUGGAUCACUCCUUUCU
rnacentral:rRNA from 1 species